rnacentral:lncRNA from 1 species
CAGAUGUGCUGCUUUUCCUUAGAAUAUAAACCUCAGCCAGGUGAAGAAACUGGUGGCUGAUGGUGCUCAGAUGAAGACAGGUGCUAUGAUACAGGCAUGUCAACUGCAGAAGAGAAGGCCAAGAAGGCAGCCACUGAGGUGGAUCUACUGACUGCUCAGUCUCAUCUUCUAGAGUUCACUGGAGCCAAAGGCUACACCCAAUAUAGACUGCUGGAUCUUUCAAAACAACUUCAUAUAAGGGAGACAAGGAAAAUCUGAGCAGGGUGUAGACGAAGAUGGAUAAACUUCAGCUGAAAGUGCAGUAACAAACAGCAAGUGGAGGCAGCAGUAAGUACUUGAAGUUACCUCAUGCAUUCCUUGACAUUGUUUUU